GACAGAGGUGCCAAGCGUUAGGCGGAAUCACUGGGCUUAAAGCGUGUGUAGGCGGAUGCCUAAGUACCUUGUGAAAUCCCCCGGCUCAACCGGGGAAUUGCGCCUGAUACUGGCGGGCUAGAGGUCGAUAGGGGUGAGCGGAACUCCAGGUGGAGCGGUGAAAUGCGUAGAUAUCUGGAGGAACACCGGUGGCGAAAGCGGCUCACUGGAUCGAAACUGACGCUGAGGUGCGAAAGCUAGGGUAGCAAACGGGAU
rnacentral:rRNA from 1 species